rnacentral:rRNA from 1 species
AGAACGCAUGUCUAGUAUAGCACUUUAUACUGUGGAACUGGCAAAGGCUCAUAAAUCAGUUAUCGAUCAUUUGAUAGUACCUUACUACAUGGGUACCUGUGGUAAUUCUCUAGCUAAUACAUGCUGAAAACCUCGACUUCGGAAGGGGUGUAUUUAUUAGAUAAAAAACCAAUGCCCUUCGGGGCUCCUUGGUGAAUCAUGAUAACUUAACGAAUCCCAUGGCCUUGCGCCGGCGAUGGUUCAUUCAAAUUUCUGCCCUAUCAACUUUCGAUGGGAGGAUAGUGGACUACCAUGGUGGCAGCGGGUAACGGGGAAUUAGGGUUCAAUUCCCGAUACGGAGCCUGAAAAACGGCUACCACAUCCCAGGAAGGCAGAAGGCGCGCAAAUUACCCAAUCCCCACACCCGAAGGUAGUGACAAUAAAUACUGAUACGGGGCUCUUGUGCGUCUCGGAAUUGGAAUGAGUACAAUCUAAAUUCAUAUACCAUGAACAAUUGCAGGGGAAGUCUGGUGCCGGCGCCCGCAGUCAUUCCAACUCCAAUAGCGUAAAUGAAAAUUGUUGCAGUUGAAAAUCACAUAGCUGAACCUUGAUUCUGGCCUUUCGGUCCGCCUCACCGCGAGUACUGGUCCGGCUGGACCUUUCCUUCUGGGGAAUCUCAUGGCCUUCACUGGCUGUGGGGGGAAGCUUAUACUUUUACUGUGAAAAAAUUACAGUGUUCAAAUCAGACCUUUGCUCGAAUACAUUAACAUGUGAAAAUAUUAUAGGACGUGAGGUCUAUUUUGUUGGUUUCUAGGAUCGCCGUACCGAGUAACUAAGGAUAUGCUGAGGCGUCACGUAUUCAGCUGUCAUGAUGUGAGAUCUCUUGGAUUGCUGAUCACUGACUGCCCGCGAAAACCAUUCACCGACGAUGUUUUUGUUCCUCGAGGAUCUAAUGUACGGGAUCGAGACUAUCGGAUCCCAGUACUAGUCUUAACCAUCAACUAUCGUCGACUAAGGAUCUGACGACGUUUCAUGAUGACCCUUUCAGCGACCUACUAGACAUCUAAGCUUAUUGAAUCUGGUGGGAGUCAUGGUCCGCAUGCUGAACCUAAGCUAAAUGAUCGAGAUUCCACGCAGGCUGCAACCCUGCAGCGUGACUUGCGUCCUCACUGGUAGCACUCACCGGUCACGUCACACAAGACCGAAUUGUACGAAUUGGAUAGACCAUCUCUUGAG